UCACACCUUUUAGAUAGCCAUCAUGUAAAGAAAAAACCCUAGCCGCCUAAAGAGGCAACGACUUCUCUGAUCCAUUGUUGAAGAUCGAUGAAGCAGAAUCCAAAGACGAAAAUGGAGGAAAUGAAGAUCUCAUUUUACUCGCACAUGGACGAGAAGAACGAAUCCGAUUCAGGCAAGACAGUUUUAAUUUUUGAUCAAAUACCAAGCAAGCAAACAAAAACUUGAAAGAACUCUGCAAUGGAUUACACUGUCGAUCGAUAUGGUUAGAUCUGUGAUGAAAGUGGACAGAUAAUACGAGCUUUGUCGGGAAAAGGUGACAGAAGUGAUACAAUGUGUCAACGAUGAUGGGGUCAUCAAGUCAGCAUCAACCAAGGAUCAUGGAGGAGGCACCAAUAAGUCGACCAAGAUCCACGAGAGAACCAACCUAAGCAUACCAAAUACAUAUGUGCCUUUCAAGAAGCAUACCAGCCCAACCCGAAGAAUUUAAGCUACAAAUCAACUUAUUCCAAAAACUUAACUCAUCAAGGAAUCACGGAGAAGUGGAAUUGGUUCAAAAAUCUUUUCAGAUGAAGAUGAUAUUAAAGUUACAAAUCAGCAGAUUUCCAAAGAACCCGAUGGAGACCAACAGCUACGUAUUAGAGGAUUUCGACCUGACCAGAAGGAGUUAACCUACAAAGUUAAUUCUCAGAUAUUCUUGACUCAUAAGAUGUAGAAACUAGAGAAGAGUUUGGGGGAAAACUCUUUCUUAUGUCUUGUUGAUCUCAAUAGCAUUGAUACAAUGUAUAUAUAUGCAAUUUAGAAUAUGUUUUUCCUAAUUUGAAUAAGAAAUAGAUAAACAUGAAUAAGUAUAUAUAUAUUUCCUAUUUAGAAUAUUUA